AAUUUCGAGGGUCCAUUCGGAGACUUUAAAUAAUGGAAAACCAGAAAAAUCUGGUGCAAUAGUGCAGAUUUUGCACCAGAUUUUCAGAUUUUUCUCCUCAACUUUGAACCCUCAUUUCUUGAGUUCUAGAGCUCCAAAUUGGGUGAUUCAAAAGGCAAAAUUGUGAGGUUUUUCGUGGAGAACGCAUUGGAGAGAUUGAAAACUAAUUUGGAGCAUUCGAUUCAGAGGCUAUCUUGCGUGGAAAUUUAAGGAGAACAUCGUGGAAGUUUCAGAAUCUGUUUUUGGCACGUCGUUCGAGUUUGGCAGCGUUCCGAGGUCGUUCGAAAGGGAAAAGCUCCAGCACAGUGAUUUGAAGCUCGCGUGUUUAGCCUACAGG